rnacentral:rRNA from 1 species
GACGAACGCUGGCGGCGUGCCUAAUACAUGCAAGUAGAACGCGCAGUUUAUACCGUAGCUUGCUACACCAUAGACUGUGAGUUGCGAACGGGUGAGUAACGCGUAGGUAACCUGCCUGGUAGCGGGGGAUAACUAUUGGAAACGAUAGCUAAUACCGCAUAAUAUUAAUUAUUGCAUGUUAAUUAAUUGAAAGGUGCAAUUGCACCACUACCAGAUGGACCUGCGUUGUAUUAGCUAGUAGGUGAGGUAACGGCUCACCUAGGCGACGAUACAUAGCCGACCUGGAAAGGUGAACGGCCACACUGGGACUUGAACACGGCCCAAAAUCCUACGGGGGGCAGCAGUAGGGAAUCUUCGGCAAUGGACGAAAGGCUGACCGAGCAACGCCGCGUGAGUGAAGAAGGUUUUCGGAUCGGAAAGCUCUGUUGUAAGAGAAGAACGAGUGUGAGAGUGGAAAGUUCACACUGUGACGGUAUCUUACCAGAAAGGGACGGCUAACUACGUG